UCGUCGACCUGCUGCGGGCAGAUGAAAUGGAUGUGCGCAUCGAUCGCACCGGCGGUCAGGAUCUUGCCCUCGCCGGCAAUCACUUCGGUGCCGGGCCCGAUGACGAUGGUCACGCCGCUCUGCACGUCGGGAUUGCCGGCCUUGCCGAUCGCAACGAUGCGCCCGCCGCGGAUGCCGACAUCGGCCUUGACCACACCCCAGUGAUCAAGAAUCACUGCAUUGGUGAUCACCGUAUCGACGGUGCCUUGCGCACGCGUACGCUGGCUCUGCCCCAUGCCGUCGCGU
rnacentral:sRNA from 1 species